UUACACUUUCAACACUGACUAAACUGUGCACGACCACCAUGCUCUCAGCGAUUCGCAAAUUUGCUACUUCUGCAAUCAGAAGAGAAGCUGCGCAAGGAGGGGUUCCUGGAGCGACUUUACCCUUCAGGACUGACAACCCCUACAGGACUACCCUUAUUUUCUUAGCCUUCUUCGGGUCAGCUUCAUGGUUACCUUUCAUGAUGCUGAGGUUCCAACUGCAAAAAUAACCCAUAUCUUCGUUAUCUUAUGAGAGUGGACAAUUUUGCUAUCUUUACACAAAGGAGAUCGCCUGGACAGCUUAAACAAGUCUACAACUAUUGUUGCAAUUUAACAAAACAUGUCAUUGACUUUACUGAAAUAAAGCUUUUCAGGCAUGACAUUAUAUUCUAAA